UCCGGUUGAUCCCGCCGGACCCCACUGCUAUCGGGAUAGGACUAAGACAUGCUAGUCGUGUGCCUCAGCCAAAACGAGGCACGGCGCACAGCUCAGUAACACGUGGCUAACCUGCCCUUAGGACGAGAAUAACCCCGGGAAACUGGGGCUAAUGCUCGAUAGGUGAAGAACUCUGGAAUGAGUCUUCACUUAAAAGAGUCUGCGUUAUGCUCGUAGAUUUCGCCCAAGGAUGGGGCCGCGACCGAUCAGGUUGUUGGCGAGGUAAUGGCUCACCAAGCCUUUUACCGGUGCGGGCCGUGAGAGCGGGAGCCCGGAGAUGGGCACUGAGACAGGGGCCCAGGCCCUACGGGGCGCAGCAGUCGCGAAAACUUUGCAAUACACGAAAGUGUGACAGGGCUAUCCCGAGUGCCAUCCGCUGAGGAAGGCUUUUACCCAGUCUAGAAAGCUGGGGGAAUAAGGAGAGGGCAAGUCUGGUGUCAGCCGCCGCGGUAAUACCAGCUCUCCGAGUGGUGUGGAUGUUUAUUGGGCCUAAAGCAUCCGUAGCUGGCUAAGUUAGUCCCCUGUUAAAUCCAACGAAUUAAUCGUUGGAUCGCGGGGGAUACUGCUUGGCUAGGGGACGAGAGAGGCAGACGGUAUUUCCGGGGUAGGGGUGAAAUCCUAUAAUCCCGGGAAGACCACCAGUGGCGAAGGCUGUCUGCUAGAACGCGCCCGACGGUGAGGGAUGAAAGCUGGGGGGAGCGAACCGGAUUAGAUACCCGGGUAGUCCCAGCUGUAAACGAUGCAGGCUAGGUGUUUGGACGGCCACGUGCCGUUCUAGUGCCGCAGGGAAGCUGUUAAGCCUGCCGCCUGGGGAGUACGAUCGCAAGAUUGAAACUUAAAGGAAUUGGCGGGGGAGCACCACAAGGGGUGAAGCUUGCGGUUUAAUUGGAUUCAACGCCGGG
rnacentral:rRNA from 1 species